rnacentral:rRNA from 1 species
UACGUAGGGACCGAGCGUUGUCCGGAUUCAUUGGGCGUAAAGAGCUCGGUAGGCGGCCCGCUAAGUCGAAACGUGAAAUCCCCGGGCUCAACCCGGGAACUGCGUCCGAUACUGGUGGCUCGAAUCCGGGAGAGGGAUGCGGAAUUCCAGGUGUAGCGGUGAAAUGCGUAGAUAUCUGGAGGAACACCGGUGGCGAAGGCGGCAUCCUGGACCGGUAUGACGCUGAGGCGCGAAAGCCAGGGGGAGCAAACGGG